GUUGGGAAUCUUGGACAAUGGGCGCAAGCCUGAUCCAGCCAUGCCGCGUGAGUGAUGAAGGCCUUCGGGUUGUAAAGCUCUUUCGCCUACGACGAUAAUGACGGUAGUAGGAGAAGAAGCCCCGGCUAACUUCGUGCCAGCAGCCGCGGUAAUACGAAGGGGGCUAGCGUUGUUCGGAAUUACUGGGCGUAAAGCGCGCGCAGGCGGCUUUCCAAGUCAGUGGUGAAAGCCCGGAGCUCAACUCCGGAAUUGCCAUUGAAACUGUAAAGCUUGAGUACGAGAGAGGUGAGUGGAAUUCCCAGUGUAGAGGUGAAAUUCGUAGAUAUUGGGAAGAACACCGGUGGCGAAGGCGGCUCACUGGCUCGUUACUGACGCUCAGGCGCGACAGCGUGGGGAUCAAACAGGAUUAGAUACCCUGGUAGUCC
rnacentral:rRNA from 1 species